ACUUUCUUAGCUUAAUGGUAAAGCAUAAUACUUCUAAUAUUAUUAUUAUAUGUUCGAAUCAUAUAGAAAGUA
rnacentral:tRNA from 1 species